UUGAAAUACAAUGAGAAAAAAUAAAGAAUACAAUAAAAUACAUGGAAUACAGCAAGAUAUAUUGAAUUACAAUGAAAAAAAGAUAAUAAAUACAAUGAAAUACAUAAAAAUAUAGCGUAAUACGUUAAAAUUAUAUUGAAAUAUAUUACAAGAAAUGUUCUUCUUUAUCGUGAAAGAUAAAAUUGUGAUGUGGAUGUCAUGGAAUUGUUCUGAAUUGAUGAAGUUGAUUUGAAACUGAAUCAGAAAAAGGCAAAUCAGAUGGAAUCACAAGCUAUGGUUGGGAGGCGGCUGUACUUGUUGCUGUUGCACGCCAGAAAUAGCCAUCGCCGGCAUUAAAACAGCCGUCACAUGCAGCAAAGAUAAAUCCACAAAUCCUCCAUCCUCGCGCUUCUGCUUCACUACCCCAAGAUUCUAGAAAAUUAAAAAAUUCAACAUCUACUACUUAUAUCCUCCACAAGUGGCUCGAAAAGCUGACAUUAUAAAUGCGGCCCUAAUAUUCUUCUCCAUUUUGAUUCUCCUAACCUUUAUCAGCGACAAAUUCAUGGAAGACAUAGACCCAAUUGUUUGGUAUCUUUCAUACUUUGCAUAUAAUAUAACCAAUAAAGUGUUUGGUUACCUUUUGAAUAUUUUUUACUUUGCACAAAUUCGGUAAAAGGAAGAGAUUGGAAAUUCUAAUGGGAUGAGGAAAGAGAA
rnacentral:lncRNA from 1 species